rnacentral:lncRNA from 10 species
AUGUGUGGAUUAUGCCCAGUUUCCCAUCCUCCCACCUCAUAUUCUGGAGAAGGAAUGAUGUUUCUUUUCCUCCUGCUCAGGAAGGCAUUCUGUAGGGUUAUCUCUGGACACAGUAAUCCUUCAGCAAUACAAUUACCAAGUUAUUCAACAUGGAAGGCUUUGCCAAGACAGUGGAGGCUGGGAUUUGACCCUCUAAGUGUGAGGCUGUCCUUUCUCUGCAAUUGA